rnacentral:rRNA from 1 species
GAUGAACGCUGGCGGCGUGCCUAAUACAUGCAAGUCGAGCGAACGGACGAGAAGCUUGCUUCUCUGAUGUUAGCGGCGGACGGGUGAGUAACACGUGGAUAACCUACCUAUAAGACUGGGAUAACUUCGGGAAACCGGAGCUAAUACCGGAUAAUAUUUUGAACCGCAUGGUUCAAAAGUGAAAGACGGUCUUGCUGUCACUUAUAGAUGGAUCCGCGCUGCAUUAGCUAGUUGGUAAGGUAACGGCUUACCAAGGCAACGAUGCAUAGCCGACCUGAGAGGGCGAUCGGCCACACUGGAACUGAGACACGGUCCAGACUCCUACGGGAGGCUGCAGUAGGGAAUCUUCCGCAAUGGGCGAAAGCCUGACGGAGCAACGCCGCGUGAGUGAUGAAGGUCUUCGGAUCGUAAAACUCUGUUAUUAGGGAAGAACAUAUGUGUAAGUAACUGUGCACAUCUUGACGGUACCUAAUCAGAAAGCCACGGCUAACUACGUG